GAAAAGAUUGGAUGCUUGCUGAAAUUUUUGGGUGACUUAGAUGAUCAGACCUGUAGAGAAGAUUUGCACAUCCUUUUCUCAAAUCAUGGUGAAAUAAAAUGGAUAGAUUUUAUCAGAGGAGCAAAAGAGGGCAUAAUUCUGUUUAAAGAAAAAGCCAAGAAAACCCUAGAAAAAGCCAAAGAUGCAAAUAAUGGUAACCUACAAUUAAGGAACAAAGCAGCCACUUGGGAAGUACUAGAAGGAGAGGUAGAAAAAGCAGCAUUGAAAAAAAUCAUAGAAGAUCAGCAAGAAUCCCUAAACAAAUGGAAGUCAAAAGGUCGCAAAUUUAAAGGAAAAGGAAAUAAAGCUGCUCAGCCUGCGUCUGCUAAAGCAAAAGUACAGUUUCAGGGCAAGAAAACCAAAUUCGAUAGUGAUGAUGACUUUGAUGAAUAUGAACCAUCAACUCGACCAGUGAAAAGAGCAAGAGAAGAAACAGCCACGAAAGAACCUGCAUCAAAACAACAGAAAACAUAAAAUGGAGUGGAGACCAGUAGUUUAGUGAACAAAUUUUUUAUUCAUUUUAAUUAGGUUUAAGCUGCCUU